rnacentral:tRNA from 1 species
GACCGCGUAGCUCAGUUGGCAGAGCAUUGGGCUGGUAUUCCAAAGGUCGUAGGUUCGAUUCCCACCGUGGCCA